UGGACUCUGUUAUGCAAUAGUGUGUUAAGUUCAUAGGAUUUCCAUAGCACUUAACACAUUAAUGCAUAACAGUGUCCAAAUAAGAACUUAAUUGUCCU